AGGCCAGUAGCUCAAUUGGCAGAGCAGCGGUCUCCAAAACCGCAGGUUGGGGGUUCUUCGCUCUUUGAUUG
rnacentral:tRNA from 1 species